UGGUGGGGUGACUUGUCUGCUUAAUUGCGAUAACGAACGAGACCUUAACCUGCUAAAUAGCCCGCAUUGCUCCGGCAGUGCGCUGGCUUUCUUAGAGGGACUUUCGGCUCAAGCCGAAGGAAGUUUGAGGCAAUAACA
rnacentral:rRNA from 1 species